CCCCACGCACAUGUCCUCUCACACGCACACGCACAACCACCUCCUCUGCUUGUUUAUCUUCCUCGGCGUCGCCAGAUCUGGAGAGCCACCGGGAGGACAACAACGAGCGUGAGAGGCGGCGACCGCGGGACAAGCACUAUCCUCGACCAGAUCGGUGUCCAGCGCAAGUGGCUCGGGGUGGUCGCGGCGGCGGCCUCUUCAGUUUCUCCCAACGAGCUCCACACGCGGGGGAGGCAUCUCCACUGCCCACGCCACCACGCUCCCUCGCCGACGUCGGCCUCAUCGCAAAAGAGGGCUAGCCCACCCAUGCUGCCAAUCAAGUUGCGUUUGGAAGUGAGGAGGGGGGCAACCGCGCCUAGAGGAGGUUGUCCCCCAAUGUCCGGAUCCUCUCAUCGUUGAACUUGCCCAUACAGCAGGUCACGGCCACUGGCUGAAGUCGCCCAGGUUGGCACCGUCCCUGUCGGCCUGCAACUCAUCCUGCCUGAAGACGAGCAGAUAGGUAUCAUGAAGCUUCCUCCUUUCAGGUCAACCAUUUCCCAUUAUGUUUUCCGUUCAAUUUAUGAUUUUGUGGUGAUAUGGACAGAAUCUCCAUCUUUGUUUUUGGAGAUUAUACUUUAUCUAUGGCUACAAGGUGUUUAAUAAUAAUUCAACCAGGCUGUAGAGGUUCGCUCAAUAAUUUUUCCGUUGACAUCCUUAACUAGCUACUAGAGAUGUAUUACUAUAUUAUAUCCAUAUGUUGCAAUUUUCUUAAAUUCUGAUGUUAUGUGCACGAAUUGGAUCACUUCUGUUGGGCCUUCUUGUUGGUUGGUAAUAUACUGAUGCUUUUUGUGUAGGGUUAUUUGGUGUAGCAAGAAUGAUAGAGUUCUAGGCCGAAGCAAAGAAGGGGCAGGGAAAUGGUUGCCUCAUAUGACCAAAACUGAAUAUUGAAAUACGUAUUUUUUGGGAGUCCAGAUGAGAUAGUAAAAAAUCUGGCUGAGUAGAUCUUGGAAGUUUUAGAAAUCUCUGCUAAAUAAAGUGGAUUCUUCGCCACUGCCCUAUCUGGAGGGCCCCUUGUCAUUUUUGCGGCAAUGAUUUUUCUAUUCUUUGUUAGCCAUAUGCCAUAUUUGUUUCUACACACUGAUUUCCAAUACAGUAUGCUUUAUUACAUUUGAAGUAUCUUGUUUUUAGUUUAUGAAAGGAAACUUUGUGAAGCAUCGUACAACAAGACCCUGGAUUGGUUUAAAUGGUAUAUAUUUUGGUCUGAUGAAUGUGCUAUAGCAAAGAACCCAUGCAAGCAGUAACUGUAAGUUAACAAAAGAAGGAUUUCUAUCAAAGCUAUGUGGAUUUUAGGAGGAAAUUCGCAAUACAAUCUAGAGCAAAACUACAGAGGAUUUCCAUGGGUUUUCCCCUCAAGAUUUUGCUUGUUUUGCACCUAUUAGUUUCUGGAUAUUUGUUGCGCGAGUUUUAUUUUACACUAUGCUUAUGAGAUGAGAGUUAUACCUUGCAUGCUAUCCAUGAUACAUAAUGUUGUUUCUUCACACUAUUUCUGUUAAAACCUACACUUGUUCAGUAUAUGAAGUCAAGUAGCCAAUAGCAAUGUGGUCAUUCAGGUUUUCCUUUUUUUCUUGUAGUAUAUGAAGUGCAUAUAUUUUUAAAUCAUUACAUUGAUGUCGCCGACAGUGCCGCCAUACAUGUUCCUUCCGUCGUUGUCGUCUGAAGGUAGAUAAAAUGCUUGAUCAGAUGAUCCCAAGCCUCUCUCUCUCUCAUCAAAUUUGAGAACAUGUUUUCAGGUCUUACAACAUAUAUAUCACACGGUCAUCUAUUAUUGUGGUCAUAAUUUGAUCUCAUGACAGAAAUUAAGUGAAGGGGGGCAACUGAUUGGAGGGGGAAACAAGUAAUAUAUUUUCUUUCCUUUAUUUGCACCCUCUAAAAGGUUGCCAUUUCCGUGGUAGGUUGGAGAGUAACCAAGGUAUGUAUAAGAUAACAAUGGGUUUGCUAGACAAAUAUGGUCCUGACAGAGCUCUCGAUACACCAAACACAUAGAAGCCAUUCAUGUGGUAUCAUUUGCUAAGAAGUGUUGAAAACGCUAAGGAAGAUGACGAGAGCUUGAUGAUGAUAUUGGGGUCAAUUAAAUUAAUCAGGCAACACUUAUUUGUUACUCCCCGUUUCAUAAUAUAAGAUGUUAUUACAACCUAUUACCACAAAUCCUCCUGUUCUGUUCGACAACAACUGUGAUGGAACCAUUGACAUGAGGGAGAUCCUUUGCAGACUGUCCAGUCUGAGGAACUCGCGGGGCGAUGAUGCUCUGGGCUCUACUUUUAGGGGUUUUGAUUAUUCUAAGAACAACCUUUUGGAGUUUGGAUUACUCUGAGUAAUUAUUAUAGGAGUUGGGAGUGCUCUGCAUGCCCUGCUACGACUGCUUGCACUACAUGAGUCACCCAGCGCAGGUCAUCUCUCUCACCGUUCCCCUCCUUCGCCCCCUCCCUCCUUAUUUCAUUGUAGCUUUCAUGUGAAAGAGACUACAUCAUGCAUAAGAAGAGCAUAUUCACAUUUCAUUGAUGUGUGCGCAUCAGCAGUGAGCUUUUGUGCUAAUUUACUUCAUAAUGAUGACUAAUAUUGCAAAUGUUGGCAGCUACUCUACUUUAUUUUGUGACACACUUAGCUCAUAUCACUAGAUUUUGUUUAGAUAUAAUUUCAACAAAUGUACCUAGAAUUAUUUGUGUUUGUAGCAGAUACUUAUUUUUCUGUUGGCUGAAAUUUUGUUUAGAUAUUUGUUGUAAUGUAACAUGUAAAAGCAUAAUUGCCCUAAUGUUGUUUAUGUCUGAGACUACUGUAUGCUCCCUGUUUGAGGAACGAAAUAACCAAACUUGUAGGAUUCUCUUGGCAACGCUCUGUCUGUGUCGGUGAAACUAGAGAAUACUGCAAAAAUUGAACAGAUAAGGAAUUAACAUGUUUUCUUUAUAUUUCAUAUCAUGAUGUCUAUGUACUUUAUAAUCUUAAAAUUUAGUAACUUGUGUUUACAUUUUUUUUCCCGAGAAACUUGUGUUUUAAAUCAGAAGAGAUAAAGUAUUGCAAAGCUACAUGUAGUUUAUUUGCAGCUAGUAGCGCCAACUAUAACCUUGAAUUCAUUGUCUCGCAUGCUUGGGUGAGGCAAUGCUCCCUGUCUAGUCUAGGGGACAUGUCUCAAAUAGGUUGAGUUCACAUAUUUUCUUGUUGACAAGU